UCCAGACUCCUACGGGAGGCAGCAGUGAGGAAUAUUGGUCAAUGGCCGGAAGGCUGAACCAGCCAAGCCGCGUGAAGGACGAAGGUGCCAAGCAUUGUAAACUUCUUUUGUCAAGGGACAAAAUCAGGCUCGAGAGCCUGACCGAGGGUACUUGAAGAAAAAGCAUCGGCUAACUCCGUGCCAGCAGCCGCGGUAAUACGUAGGUGGCAAGCGUUGUCCGGAUUUACUGGGUGUAAAGGGCGUGUAGCCGGGCUGACAAGUCAGAUGUGAAAUCCGGGGGCUCAACCCCCGAACUGCAUUUGAAACUGUUGGUCUUGAGUAUCGGAGAGGCAGGCGGAAUUCCUAGUGUAGCGGUGAAAUGCGUAGAUAUUAGGAGGAACACCAGUGGCGAAGGCGGCCUGCUGGACAGAAACUGACGUUGAGGCUCGAAAGCGUGGGGAGCAAACAGGAUUAGAUACCCGCGUAC
rnacentral:rRNA from 1 species